UACAGAGGUCCCGAGCGUUGUUCGGAUUCAUUGGGCGUAAAGGGUGCGUAGGCGGUUUUCUAAGUUUGAUGUGAAAUCCCGGGGCUCAACCCCUGGAAUUGCAUUGAAUACUGGAGGACUAGAGUACCGGAGAGGAAACUGGAAUUUACGGUGUAGCAGUGAAAUGCGUAGAGAUCGUAAGGAAGACCAGUGGCGAAGGCGAGUUUCUGGACGGUAACUGACGCUGAGGCACGAAGGCCAGGGGAGCAAAGCGGGG
rnacentral:rRNA from 1 species